rnacentral:lncRNA from 1 species
UAAAUCUGUUUUUUACAACAACGACCGCAACAAAAAUCAAACUCCAUAUAACUUGGUCAUAAUGACUCUGAUAGAAUGUAAUCAUGAACUAACUUUAUAUCAUAACACUAACAUCUUCAACACUAAGAAACAUGUGAUUCAAAUAAGUGAAAUAGCUUUCAUAUUCCAAUAAAUAGUGAAAUAAGUAUUAAUAAUAUUUAUAAUAAACAUUUAUAUUUUAGAAAUGCAUUUACAAAUAAAGUCAUCUAUUUUUUCUAAUAGUUGCAAUAAUUAAACCUAAAUUUAGAAGACAUUCAAUAAGAUAGAUUUUUGAAAUGGUUAUGCAUUUCCAAUUAUUUAAUUUGUGAGUAUCGUUGUAACCUUUUCUGUAUGAAUAUUAUUUCUCUAUAUACAUCCACAAUUAACCAUUUCAUUUUUCGUAAGGAUAAUUAUAUUUUUAAGUGAAAUUAAAAAUUUCAAGAGUAUUAUUAAAAAAAAAAUGUAAAUUGAUAGUAAGUAGUUUUUUUUUGUAAGGGGUAAAUUAAAGUGCACAUCAUGGUAUCUUUCAACCAUGUAUUUUUCUCUGAAGAACUUGAUCAUUUAUCAAUCCAACAUACUCUUAUUUCUUCCUUCAUAAUUAUUUAGUUAACAUACUUUUUAUGUUUUACUUCGAAGUUUUAAAAUAAACUCCAAAAGUAUAAAAAUAUUGUCCAGCGUAAAAUUAACAAAGUCAAUAUACAUGGUUUUAAAGGGAGUUUACAAAUUUUCGACACCCGUGCAUUGCACGGGUCUCAACCUAGUUGCUUAUUUUAUUUAACGACAUAUAGAAACACGCAGGCACAUACUUUUCUUAUUAUAUAAUUCCUCUGUAAUUGUUUAUAAUGGAAGGUAAAUAUCUCACACUUAUUAAGAAAGUUCAAAUUUUUCUGUCUCUUUUUUAUUAUGUUUUGUUGGAAAAAUAUUUUAAAAAAUUAUUUAUACUCUAAUUUUGAAGCAAUCACAAUACUGAAUGGGACAUUAAGAACCAAUUAUUUAUGCCUUUCUCUUUCUUCUUUUGUCAUGUUCUUUUUCUUCUUCUACUCUUUCUCUUUCCUUUUCUUUAUUUCUUAUUCUUUCUUCCUUCUUCUAUGUUAUUCUUUUUUUUAUAUAUAUAUAAAUAUAUAGUGUAUUGCCCUCUUAUUUAUUUCUCUUUCUUAUUUUUCUCUUUUCUUUUUUCUUCUUUCUCACUCUCCAGUUAUUUUUUCUUCUUAUCUUUCUCUUUGAUAUUCUUUCUUUCUAAUUCAUUCUUUCCUCUUUCUCUUUUCUAUGGUUUUCUAAAUAUGUAAUUUACUUCUCUCAUAACCACUUGGCAAAGCAUUUGGAUAGUCUCAUUCCUAGUGGUUAUCUGCAUUCGGUACAAACUCUUUUUUUGUUUUGUUGCUAAACACAAGAAUAUUGAAUUUUUAUUCAAUGUAGGAUCACGUCUUUAUUUGUACACUAAUUUAUCUUUUAAAAAACAAUAUAAACAUAUAACAUAAAUUAUUUGAGUAAAUGAUAAACUAGAAGGUUGGUUGUAUAGAACUCCACUCAGUUCCACAUGACGUACCAGUUGAUAGUGUAGUAUAGGAGGAGUAGUUUGAUGGGUUUUAUAGUAUUGCUUCUAAAUUAUAUGGAGGAAACGUAUAAACAAGUUAAACCAAAAUUAAAAGUACCGUAAAUAAUGCUAAUAUUAGAUCCUUAACGGCAAUUCCAUUAUAUGAAUUUUGCAUAUUUCCUAGAAUUAAAAUCGUCUCUUUCAAAAUACAAUAAUCUACUUUUUAAUAUAGAAAAUUUGUAGUAAAGAUUUGGAUACAUAAUUUGUGUAUUAAUAACUUAAAUCUGUUUUUUACAACAACGGCCGCAACAAAAAUCAAACUCCAGAUAACUUGGUCAUAAUGACUCUGAUAGAAUGUAAUCAUGAACUAACUUUAUAUCAUAACACUAACAUCUUCAACACUAAGAAACAUGUCAUUCAAAUAAGUGAAAUAGCUUUCAUAUUCCAAUAAAUAGUGAAAUAAGUAUUAAUAAUAUUUAUAAUAAACAUUUAUAUUUUAGAAAUGCAUUUACCAAUAAAGUCAUCUAUUUUUUCUAAUAGUUGCAAUAAUUAAACCUAAAUCUAGAAGACAUUCAAUAAGAUGGAUUUUUGAAAUGGUUAUGCAUUUCCAAUUAUUUAAGUUGUGAGUACCGUUGUAACCUUUUCUGUACGAAUACUAUUUCUCUAUAUACAUCCAUAAUUAACCAUUUCAUUUUUCGUAAGGCUAAUUAUAUUUUAAAGUGAAAUUAAAAAUUUCAAGAGUAUUAUUAAAAAAAAAUGUAAAUUCAUAGUAAGUAGUUUUUUUUUUGUAAUGGAUAAAUUAAAGUGCACAUCGUGGUAUCUCUCAUCCAUGUAUUUUUCUCUGAAGAACUUGAUCAUUUAUCAAUCCAACAUACUCUUAUUUCUUCCUUCAUAAUUAUUUAGUUAACAUUCUUUUUAUGUUUUACUUCGAAGUUUUAAAAUAAACUCCAAAAGUAUAAAAAUAUUGUUCAGCGCAAAAUUACCAAAGUCAAUAUACAUGGUUUUAAAGGGAGUUUACAAAUUUUCGACACCCGUUAAUUGCAAGGGUCUCAAUCUAGUUGCUUAUUUUAUUUAACGACAUAUAGAAGCACGCAGGCACAUACUUUUCUUAUUAUAUAAUUCCUCUGUAAUUGUUUAUAAUGGAAGGUAAAUAUCUCACACUUAUUAAGAAAGUUCAAAUUUUUGUGUCUCUUUUUUAAUAUGUUUUGUUGGAAAAAUAUUUUAAAAAAUUGUUUAUACUCUAAUUUUGAAGCAAUCACAACACUGUGUGGGACUUUAAGCUCUUUCUUCUUUUGUCAUGUUCUUUUUCUUCUUCUACUCUUUCUCUUUCCUUUUCUUUAUUUCUUAUUCUUUCUUCCUUCUUCUAUCUUAUUCUCUUUUAUUUUUUAUAUAUAAAUAUAUAGUUUAUUCCCCUCUUAUUUACUUCUCUUUCUUUUUUUUCUCUUUUCUUUUUUCUUCUUUCUCACUCUCCAGUUAUUUUUUCUUCUUAUCUUUCUCUUUGAUAUUCUUUCUUUCUAAUUCAUUCUUUCCUCUUUCUCUUUUCUAUGGUUUUCUAAAUAUGUAAUUUACUUCUCUCAUAACCACUUGGCAAAGCAUUUGGAUAGUCUCAUUCCUAGUGGUUAUCUGCAUUCGGUACAAACUCUUUUUUUUUUUUGUUGCUAAACACAAGAAUAUUGAAUUUUUAUUCAAUGUAGGAUCACGUCUUUAUUUGUACACUAAUUUAUCUUUUAAAAAA